UACCAGCACCCCGAGUGGUCGGGACGUUUAUUGGGCCUAAAGCAUCCGUAGCCGGUUCUACAAGUCUUCCGUUAAAUCCAACUGCUUAACAGGUGGGCUGCGGAAGAUACUAUAGAGCUAGGAGGCGGGAGAGGCAAGCGGUACUCGAUGGGUAGGGGUAAAAUCCGUUGAUCCAUUGAAGACCACCAGUGGCGAAGGCGGCUUGCCAGAAUGCGCUCGACGGUGAGGGAUGAAAGCUGGGGGAGCAAACCGGG
rnacentral:rRNA from 1 species